UUUUAUUAGAAAUUAUUAAUAGUAAAAUCUGCUCACUGAUAAUUAAAGAGCCGCAAUUCGUGCUAAGGUAGCAUAAUCACUCGUCUUUUAAUUGAGGACUAGAACAAACGAUUUAACAUUUCAAUUAAUCUUUUUAAUUUUAAAAUCAAAAUUUUUCCAAAUGUAAAAAAACAUUUAUUUUAUAGAAAGACGAUAAGACCCUAUUAAACUUUACUUUAGUUAAACUGGGGCAGUUAAUUAAUUAUUAUUUUAAUUUAAAUAAUAUUAAAAAUAUCUAAUAUCAUUAAAUAAUUCAGUUACUAUAGGGAUAACAGCAUAAUUAUUUUUUAAAGCUCAUAUACAAAAAAUAGAUUAUGACCUCGAUGUUGAAUUAAUAACCUAAUUAGAGCAAGAUUUAAUAAAGGAAGUCUGUUCGACUUUUAAAAAAUU
rnacentral:rRNA from 1 species